GACUGCAAUGAAACAUUUAAAUACUACUUUUUGAGCCAGUCACUGCAGCAGGAUGAAUCCAAGAUGUUACAGACAGAUGUGAAACCUUUCACCUGCAACAGGUACCUGUAGUAUGCCAAACUGGUACUUCCAACUAAUAUCCACCAUUUGUUUGUAUAGUGCAUGAUAUACAGCGAGGAGGCACACUGCACAUUUUGAGGACCACGUAUGGAUUCAUGGAGGACUUAAUGAUAAUAGAAAAUUAACUACCAGUUGUUCAAGUUGAGUGCUACUGAAGUGAACAAAAUGUCACGGGUUUGUGUUAACAGUGCAGACAUAUUUUGCUAUGUGUGUGGAGAAGUGACAUUUGCUUCACAAAAACAGCAAAUAACUCCAAUGAUUAAAAAAGCUUACAGUUGUUAUUUUGAGCGCAAAAUAGGUGAUCAGGAUAAACCCUGGGCUCCACAUGUGACCUGUAACACUUGUGCCACCAACCUCAGGAACUGGAUGCAUGGGAAAGGAUGUUCAAUGCCCUUUGCAGUGCCCAUGAUCUGGCGUGAGCCAACUAACCAUGUCAGUGACUGCUACUUUCGUAUGGUUCCUCCUAUCAAGAAGGGAAUAUCUAAGAAGAAGAAGCGGACAGUGAUCUGUCCUAACAUUCCAUCUGCUAUACAUCCAGUUCUACAUGGGGAAGGAUUGCCAAUACCUGAAUCACCGACAGAGUAGGAGAUUACUUCUGACGGGGAUUCUGAAUGUCCUGAACUGUGUACAUCAGAAGAUCCAGAGUUCCUUCCAAAUAUAUCAUCAACUAAUGAUCCACAAAAAUUGUCUCAAAAUGAUUUAAGUGAUCUCAUUAGAGAUUUGGAGCUCUCUAAAGGCUCUCUAAGGCUGAGAUUUUAGCAUCAAGAUAGCAGCAGGUGCAAUUUUCUGGAAAGCAAUGUACAUGUUUCAUUCUACUGCAGAAGAGAGCAACAAUAAACUCCUUCUUUUAACAUGCAAUAUAGUCUUGAGGCAUGAGUAGACAUAAAUGGUCUAAUGAAGGCUCUCAGAAUUAAUUACAACCCUGAUGAGUGAAGACUCUUUAUUGAUUCGUCAAAGUUGAGCUUAAAAGCAGUGCUUUUACAUAGUGGUAAUAGCUUCCUUCUAUUCCAGUUGGGCGUAGUGUGCAUAUGAAAGAGUCAUACCAAAACAUGAAUAUUUUACUAGCAGCCAUCAAGUAUAGUGACUCUCAAUGGCAGAUUUGUGGUGACUUGAAAGUGGUUGCACUGCUAUUAGGUAUGCAGUUAGGGUAUACUAAAUAUUGCUGCUUUCUCUGUGAAUGGGAUAGCCAAGCUUGUGCACCUCAUUACAGUAAACAUGAAUGGCCCACCAGAAAAUCUCUUCAACCAGGUAUGAAGAACAUUUAGAGUGAACCUCUAGUAAACUCUAAAAAGAUUCUGCUCCUACCUUGCACAUCAAGUUAGGUCUCAUGAAAAACUUUGUUAAGGGAAUGAACAAAGAUGGCAAUGCAUUUAAGUACUGAAGGCAAAAAUUCCCUUACUUAAGAGAUGCCAAAGUAAAGGAGGGCAUCUUUGUAGGCCCACAGAUUCGAGAGCCUUUUGGAGAUGAUACUAUUGAUGAAAUCAUACAAUGUGAUAGAAGCAUGCACAGGGAUGUUUUAAGAUUGUCUGUUUCCAGUUCUUAGGGAACAAAUGAUCAAUAAAAUACAAGGAGAUUGCAGAUAACAUGUUGUCAUCUUAUGAAAAAAGUGGUUGCAACAUGUCAUUGAAAUGCAUUUCUUACAUAGUCAUCUUGACUUCUUCCACAAAGAUUGUGGUACAGAAAGUGAUGAACAUGGGGAGCGAUUUCAUCAAGAUAUUGCCACAUUUGAGAAGAGGUAUGCCAGAAAGUGGAGCCCUGCUACUCGUAUUUUAACCAAUUACUGCUGUACUGUAAUAAGGGAUGUUCCCGAGUAUGUGUAUAAAUGUCAAGCCAAGUGAAAACGGUCAUCUUCUGAAUUUAUCUCUGAACAAAAUAUGUAAUUGUAUAUACUGUAAAUAUGGACAUUUAACAUUUGUAAUCCUUUAUAUAUAUUUGUGUCUAGUUAAUUAAAAAACUUUCAGUAAACGAAUGAUAUAUAUACUUAUAUGUCUAUCAUAUAGUGUAAGCAAAAUCACCUCAGCAUAACAUUAUUGCUAGUACAAAUGCGAUAAGAACAGUAUACUAUAUGAGUGUAGGGAAAAACCAAGUACAUUUUCAUGAUCAAAGUUCCAUCUUAUAUCAAGUAUGUCUCUAUCCAAAGAUCAAAAUGUAUAAAUCAAAUAUUCAAGUGUAUAUACCUAGGUGUGUAAAUUAGUGAUAACGUGUGGUCUAAGAAAAUAUGUGACAUCAGAAAUAUG